GGGGCGUGACAGAAAAAUUACUAGUUGCAAAGUUAUACUGUUGGGGCGCAACAGAGUAGUCUAUUGUUGUUCCGGUUUUGGUUAUUGUUAAGGUUGACAUCGAUUCGUUUCAAAUUUACACUCUCGAGGCAUAAUAGAACAAUAUAAUUAGGUUUUACUCUUUGUUCGAUAGAAUGAGAAAAAGUACUCAUUGCAAAGUUAUACUGUUAGGGCGCAACCGAAUAGUCUAAUGUUGUUCCGGUUUUGGUUCUUGUGAACGCUGACAUCAAUUGGUUCGAAAUUACAACUCUCGGGGCAUAAUUGAACAAUAUAAAUUAGGUUUUACUCUUUGUUCGAUAGAAUGAGAAAAAGAACUCGUCGCAAAGUUAUACUGCUAGGGGGCAACUGAGUAGUCUAAUAUUGUUCCGGUUUUGGUUCUUGUGAACGUUGACAUCGAUUCGUUCCAAAUUUACACUCUCGGGGCAUAAUAGAACAAUACAAUUAAGUUUUACUCUUUGUUCGAUCGAAUGAGAAAAAGUACUCGUUGCAAAUUUAUAAUAUUAGGGCGCAGCUGAGUAGUCUAAUGUUGUUCCGGUUUUGGUUCUUGUGAAGGUUGACAUCGAUUCGUUCCAAAUUUACACUCUUGGGGCAUAAUAGAACAAUAUAAUUAGCUUUUACACUUUGUUCGAUCGAAUGGGAAAAAAGUACUCGUUACAAAGUUAUACUGUUAGGGCGCAACUGAGUAGUCUAUUGUUGUUCCAGCUUUGGUUCUUAUGAAGGUUGACAUCGAUUCAUUCCAAAUUUACACUCUCGCGGCAUAAUAGAACAAUAUAAUUAGCUUUUACACUUUGUUCGAUUGAAUGAGAAAAAGUACUAGUUGCAAAGUUAUAUUGUUGGGGUACAACAGAGUAGUCUAUUGUUGUUCCGGUUUUGGUUCUAGUGAAAGUUGACAUCGAUUCGUUCCAAAUUUACACUCUCGGGGCAUAAUGAAUAAAAUAAUUAGCUUUUACACUUUGUUCGAUUGAAUGAGAAAAAGUACUAGUUGCAAAGUUAUACUGUUGGGGCGCAACAGAGUAGUCUACUGUUGUUCCGGUUUUGGUUCUUGUUAAGGUUGACAUCGAUUCAUUCCAAAUUUACACUCUCGGGGCAUAAUAGGACAAUAUAAUUAGGUUUUACUCUUUGUUCGAUAGAAUGAGAAAAAGUACUCAUUGCAAAGUUCUACUGUUAGGGCGCAACUGAAUAGCGUUAUGUUGUUACGGUUUUGGUUCUUGUGAACGUUGACAUCGAUUCGUUCGAAAUUACAACUCUCGCGGCAUAAUUGAACAAUAUAAUUAGGUUUUACACUUUGUUCAAUAGAAUGAGAAAAAGUACUCGUCGCAAAGUUAUACUGUUGGGGCGCAACUAAGUAGUCUAAUGUUGUUCCGGUUUUGGUUCUUGUGAACGUUGACAUCGAUUCGUUCCAAAUUUACACUCUCGGGGCAAAAUAGGACAAUAUAAUUAAGUUUUACGCUUUGUUCGAUCGAAUGAGAAAAUGUACGCGUUGCAAAUUUAUACUGUUAGGGCGCAGCUGGGUAGUCUAAUGUUGUUCCGGUUUCGGUUCAUGUGAAGGUUGACAUCGAUUCGUUCCAAAUGUACACUCUUGGGGCAUAAUAGAACAAUAUAAUUAGCUUUUACACUUUGUUCAAUCGAAUGGAAAAAAAUACUCGUUGCAAAGUUAUACUGUUAGGGCGCAGCUUAGUAGUCUAAUGUUGUUCCGGUUUUGGUUCUUGUGAAGGUUGACAUCGAUUCGUUCUAAAUUUACACUCGCGGGGCAUAAUAGAACAAUAUAAUUAGCUUUUACACUUUGUUCGGUCGAAUGGGAAAAAGUACUCGUUGCAAAGUUAUACUGUUAGGGCGGAACUGAGUAGACUAUUGUUGUUCCGGUUUUGGUUCUUGUGAAGGUUGACAUCGAUUCGUUCCAAAUUUACACUCUUGGGGCAUAAUAGAACAAUAUAAUUAGUUUUUACACUUUGUUCGAUUGAUUAAGAAAAAGUACUAGUUGCAAAGUUAUACUGUUGGGGCGCAACAGAGUAGUCUAUUGUUGUUCCGGUUUUGAUUCUUGCUAAGGUUGACAUCGAUUCGUUCCAAAUUUACACUCUCGGGGCAUAAUAGAACAAUAUAAUUUGGUUUUACUCUUUGUUCGAUAGAAUAAGAAAAAGUAGUCAUUGCAAUGUUAUACUGUUAGGGCGCCACUGAAUAGUCUAAUAUUGUUCCGGUUUUGGUUCUUGUGAACGUUGACAUCGAUUCGUUCGAAAUUACAACUCUCGGGGCAUAAUUGAACAAUAUAAUUAGGUUUUACUCUUUGUUCGAUAGAAUGAGAAAAAGUACUCGUCGCAAAGUUAUACUGCUAGGGCGCAACUGAGUAGUCUAAUGUUGUUCCGAUUUUGGUUCUUGUGAACGUUGACAUCGAUUCGUUCCAAAUUUACACUCUCGGGGCACAAUUGAACAAUAUAAUUAGGUUUUACUCUUUGUUCGAUAAAAAGAGAAAAAGUACUCGUUGCAAAGUUAUACUGUUAGGGCGCAACAGAGUAGUCUAAUGUUGUUCCGGUUUUCGUUCUUGUGAACGGUGACAUCGAUUCGUUCCAAAUUUACACUCUCGGGNCUGGGAACUUGUUGUACACAAUCUCGUCGUUGUGCCUUGGGCGGACAGGGGAGGUACUGUCCGUACGGCGGUCCGCCGCCGUGCCCGAACCGAACCAAAUUGGUAUCGGCCUCGGGGCGGGGGCGUGACAGAAAAAUUACUAGUUGCAAAGUUAUACUGUUGGGGCGCAACAGAGUAGUCUAUUGUUGUUCCGGUUUUGGUUAUUGUUAAGGUUGACAUCGAUUCGUUUCAAAUUUACACUCUCGAGGCAUAAUAGAACAAUAUAAUUAGGUUUUACUCUUUGUUCGAUAGAAUGAGAAAAAGUACUCAUUGCAAAGUUAUACUGUUAGGGCGCAACCGAAUAGUCUAAUGUUGUUCCGGUUUUGGUUCUUGUGAACGCUGACAUCAAUUGGUUCGAAAUUACAACUCUCGGGGCAUAAUUGAACAAUAUAAAUUAGGUUUUACUCUUUGUUCGAUAGAAUGAGAAAAAGAACUCGUCGCAAAGUUAUACUGCUAGGGGGCAACUGAGUAGUCUAAUAUUGUUCCGGUUUUGGUUCUUGUGAACGUUGACAUCGAUUCGUUCCAAAUUUACACUCUCGGGGCAUAAUAGAACAAUACAAUUAAGUUUUACUCUUUGUUCGAUCGAAUGAGAAAAAGUACUCGUUGCAAAUUUAUAAUAUUAGGGCGCAGCUGAGUAGUCUAAUGUUGUUCCGGUUUUGGUUCUUGUGAAGGUUGACAUCGAUUCGUUCCAAAUUUACACUCUUGGGGCAUAAUAGAACAAUAUAAUUAGCUUUUACACUUUGUUCGAUCGAAUGGGAAAAAAGUACUCGUUACAAAGUUAUACUGUUAGGGCGCAACUGAGUAGUCUAUUGUUAUUCCAGUUUUGGUUCUUGUGAAGGUUGACAUCGAUUCGUUCCAAAUUUACACUCUCGGGGCAUAAUAGAACAAUAAAAUUAGCUUUUACACUUUGUUCGAUUGAAUAAGAAAAAGUACUAGUUGCAAAGUUAUAUUGUUGGGGUGCAACAGAGUAGUCUAUUGUUUUUCCGAUUUUGGUUCUGGUGAAGGUUGAUAUCGAUUCGUUCCAAAUUUACACUCUCGGGGCAUAAUGAAUAAAAUAAAUAGCUUUUACACUUUGUUCGAUUGAAUGAGAAAAAGUACUAGUUGCAAAGUUAUACUGUUGGGGCGCAACAGAGUAGUUUACUGUUGUUCCGAUUUUGGUUCUUGUUAAGGUUGACAUCGAUUCAUUCCAAAUUUACACUCUCGGGGCAUAAUAGAACAAUACAAUUAAGUUUUACUCUUUGUUCGAUCGAAUGAGAAAAAGUACUCGUUGCAAAAUUAUGCUGUUAGGGCGCAACUGAGUAGUCUAGUGUUGUUCCGAUUUUGGUUCUUGUGAAGAUUGACAUCGAUUCGUUCCAAAUUUACACUCUCGGGGCAUAAUAGAACAAUAUAAUUAGCUUUUACACUUUGUUCGAUUGAAUGAGAAAAAGUACUAGUUGCAAAGUUAUACUGUUGGGGCGCAACAGAGUAGUCUAUUGUUGUUCCGGUUUUGGUUCUUGUUAAGGUUGACAUCGAUUCGUUCCAAAUUUACACUCUCGGGGCAUAAUAGAACAAUAUAAUUAGGUUUUACUCUUUGUUCGAUCGAAUGAGAAAAAGUACUCGUUGCAAAGUUAUACUGUUAGGGCGCAACUGAGUAGUCUAAUGUUGUUCCGGUUUUGGUUCUUGUGAACGUUGACAUCGAUUCGUUCGAAUUUACACUCUCGCGGCAUAAUAGAACAAUAUAAUUAGGUUUUACACUUUGUUCGAUAGAAUGAGAAAAAGUACUCGUUGCAAAGUUAUACUGUUAGGGCGCAACUGAGUAGUCUAAUGUUGUUCCGGUUUUGGUUCUUGUGAACGUUGACAUCGAUUCGUUCCAAAUUUACACUCUCGGGGCAUAAUAGAACAAUAUAAUUAGGUUUUACGCUUUGUUCGAUUGAAUGAGAAAAAGUACUCGUUGCAAAGUUAUACUGUUAGGGCGCAACUGAGUAGUCUAAUGUUGUUCCGGUUUUGGUUCUUGUGAACGUUGACAUCGAUUCGUUCCAAAUUUACACUCUCGGGGCAUAAUAGAACAAUAUAAUUAGNNNNNNNNNNNNNNNNNNNNNNNNNAGAUCGAUUCGUUCCAAAUUUACACUCUCGGGGCAUAAUAGGAAGUUUUUACUUCUUGUUCGAUAGAAUAAGAAAAAGUACUCAUCGCAAAGUUAUACUGUUAUGGCGCAACUGAGUAGUCUAAUGUUGUUCCGGUUUUGGUUCUUGUCAACGUUGACAUCGAUUCGUUCUAAAUUUACACUCUCGACGCUUGAACAAUAUAAUUAGGUUUUACUCUUUAUUCGAUUGAAUGAGAAAAAGGACUAGUUGCAAUGUUAUACUGUUAGGGCUCAACUGAGUAGUCUAACGUUCUUCCGGUUUUGGUUCUUGUGAACGCUGACAUUGAUUCGUUCCGAAUUUACACCCUUGGGGCAUAAAAGAAAGCUUUUACUCCUUGUUCGAUGAUUGAGAAAAAGUACUCAUUGCAAAGUUAUACUGUUAUGGCGCAAUAGAGUAGUCUAAUGUUGUUCCGGUUUUGGUUCUUGUGAACAUUGACGUCAAUUAGUUCCAAAUUUACACUCUCGGGGCAUAAUAGAACAAUAUUAUUAUGUUUUACGCUUUAUUCGAUUGAACGAGAAAAAGUACUCGUCGCAAAGUUAUUCUAUUAGGCGCAACUGAGUAGUCUAAUGUAGUUCCGGUUAUGGUACUUGUGAACGUUGACAUCGAUUCGUUCCAAAUUUACACUCUCGGGGCAUAAUAGAAAGCUUUUACUCCUUGUUCAAUAGAAUUAGAAAAAGUACUCGUUGCAAAGUUAAACUGUUAAGGCACACAGAGUAGUCUAUUGUUGUUCCGAUUUUGGUUCUUGUCAACGUUGACAUCGAUUCGUUCCAAAUUUACACUCUUGGGGUAUAAUAGAACAAUAUAAUUAGGUUUUACUCUUUAGUCGAUUGAAUGAGAAAAAGUACUAGUUGCAAUGUAAUACUAUCAGGGCUCAACUGAGUAGUCUAACGUUGUUUCUGUUUUGGUUCUUGUGAACGUUGACAUCGAUUCGUUCAAAAUUUACACUCUCGGGGAAUAAUAAAAAGCUUUUACUCCUUACUCGAAACAAUGAGAAAAAGUACACGUUGCAAAGUUAUGCUAUUAUGGCGCAACAGAGUAGCCUAAUGUAGUUCCGGUUUUGGUUCUUGUCAACGUUGACAUCGAUUCGUUCCAAAUAUACACUCUCGGGGCAUAAUAGAACAAUAUCGUUUGGUUUUACUCUUUAUUCGAUUGAAUGAGAGAAAGUACUCGUUGCAAAGUUAUACUGUUAUGGCAAAACUGAGUAGUCAAAUUUAGUUCCUGUUUUGGUUCUUGUGAACUUUGACUUCGAUUCGUUCCAAAUUUAUACUCUCGAGGCAUAAUAGAACAAUAUUAUUAGUUUUGCUAUUUGUUCGAUUGAAUGAGAACAAGUUCUAGUUGCAAAGUUAUACUGUCAAGGCUCAACUGAGUAGUCAAACGUUGUUCCGGUUUUGGUUUUUGUGAACGUCAACAUCGUUACGUUGCAAAUUUACACUCUCGGGGCAUAAUAGAAAGCUUUUACACCUUGUUCGAUAGAAAGAGAAAAAGUACUCGUUGCAAAAUUAUAUUGUUAUGGCGCAACAGAGUAGUCUAAUGUUAUUUCAGGUUUGGUUCUUGUGAACAUUGACAUCGAUUCAUACCAAAUUUACACUCUCGGUGCAUAAUAGAACAACAUAAGUAGGUUUUGCUCUUUGUUCGAUUGAAUGAGAAAAAGUACUAGUUGCAAUCUUAUACUGUUAGGGCUCAACUGAGUUGUCUAACGUUGUUUCGGUUUUGGUUCUCGUGAACGUUGACAUCGAUUCNNNNNNNNNNNNNNNNNNNNNNNNNAUACUGUUAUGGCGCAACUGAGUAGUCUAAUGUUGUUCCAGUUUUGGUUCUUGUGAACGUUGACAUCGAUUCGUUCCAAAUUAAAACUCUCCGGUAAUAAUAGAACAAUAUAAUUAGGUUUUGCUCUUUGUUCGAUUGAAUGAGAAAAAAUACUAGUUGCAAAGUUAUACUGUUAGGGCUCAACUGAGUAGUCUAACGUUGUUCCGGUUUUAGUUCGUGCGAACGUUGACAUUGAUUCGCUCCAAAUUUACACUCUCGGGGCAUAAUAGAUAGCUUUUACUCCUUAUUCGAUAGAAUUAGAAAAAGUACUCGUUGCAAAGUUAAACUGUUAAGGCGCAACUGAGUAGUCUAGCGUUGUUCCAGUUUUGGUUCUUGUGAACGUUGACAUCGAUUCGUUCCAAAUUUACACUCUCGGGGUAUAAUAGAACAAUAUAAUUAGGUUUUACUCUUUGUUCAAUUGAAUAAGAAAAAGUACUGGUUGCAAUGUCAUACUGUUAGGGCUCAACUGAGUAGUCUAACGUUCUUCCGAUUUUGGUUCUCGUGAACGUUG
rnacentral:lncRNA from 1 species